GCAAAGAGAGACAUCAAGUUACAACUUCAUCAAAAUUGUUCAGAAUACUCUCCAUAUAAACCCUUUAGCGUUUGCAGUUUUUUUUGUUACAUUAUGGAACAUGAGUUUGGAUUCUCGUCGCUGAAUAGUUGAGGCGGAUAAGCAUGGGGCGGCAUUUCCAUAGGCGGAACCGCCACACGCGGUAGUUGGUAAUUAUAAUAGUAGUAAUAAGGAUUCUCUAUCUUCCUCACAUCCACAACUUUUCCCUCCUCCUCACCACCGCCGCCACCGUUUUUAUUUUCAGCUGCUUCGCCUUCCCCUUCUUUCUUUUCGUCCUUGCCUUCUUCCCCUUUGGACUCUCCUCCGCCCUUGUCCCCUUUACCUUCGUCUUUCUUAUCUGCUUCAGCUGCCGCAGCUGCUUCCUCAGGUGGCGGUGGAGGCGGUGGGUCAAUUUUCAUAAUGGCAGCAUGUUUUCCAGUCCGUUUAUAAAUGUGUUCAACGAGCUUUUGCGGUUCAAACAUUCCUUUUACUGUCACUUGAGAACCCUUUAAAUCUGAUUCAGCAGAUUCCACUCCUAAAAGUUACAUGUUUCAAAACAAACAAAAAAAAUCAUCAAGAAAAUAAUAAUAAUAGUACUAUCAAAGUGAAGGGGUAAAUACACUUUGACCCCACCACACAAAUGCUUUCAAUAAAUAAGAUGAGUCAGAUGAGUAUGAAUAAAUAAAUAACACGUGUAUAUGUUUUAAAGGACGCAAUAUCAUCUUGAUUUGAAUUUGUAUGGACCAAAAUUGAUACAACGAGAGAUAAUACAAAGUUGGUGACAGAAGUAAACAAGUGGAGGUUUUUGCAAGACAUUGGAAACGUUUUAUCUACCGAUAACAAACUAGACAGCCAAAAAUAAGUUAAAAUCUAAAAAAAAAUAUUUCUGAUUACAUUUAUAAAAUUUCCUAAUAAAGUCUGAAAUGUUGCUCUCCCGGAGAAAGAGUAAAGUUGAGAAAAAUAGACCACGCUUAAUGCGAUAUGAAUGUUUAUAUAAAUAAUCCAAUAUAUUAUUAAAUAUAAUAUUAUUAUGUCAAAGAAUUUGUAUAAUUAUUUACCAAAAAAAAAGAAGAAACUGUACAAGUAAAAAAGCUAACCUUUCAUUCUCAUGAUCCGUUUCUUGAUCUCCGAUGCACAAGCUUCGCAGUGCAUGUGAACCUUGAGGACCACCGUUACCACUACGGGAGGCUGAUACAUAAAAAAAUCGCCAGAAAAUGUUAAUACAGCCACUUCUUCUUCUUUUUUUCCUUUGAUCAAAGGAGACAGAGUCCAAAUUCUAUAUACAAAAAUAUAGUUUUAUAUCCUGUUCGGAACGCGCUAAGCGCUAGUCGGGCGGUCGGGUUGGGCCUAGCGCUUAAAGAGAAAAUCGGGGAUUAAUCAGAAAUUAUGCGGAACGGAAUUUUUAGAUGGUUUACUAUGUUAUAAAACAUGUUAAUCUUUAAUUGUGUAUAAUAUUAAUACAUUUUUAUGUUUAAAAUUGUAUAUAACACACAAAUAUAAUAUAUAAACUUAAUGUAGUGUAAUUUUCAUCAAAAUUAUGAAUAUAAAUGAUAUUUAUAAAAUUUUAGAUCAAAUAAACAAAUAAAAAUAUUAUUAAAAAAAUAAAAAUAAAAAAAAAAUAAAAAAAUAAUAAAAAAUAGAUUAGGCCGACUAGGCGGAAAAAAAUCGGAUAUCCGAUUUUUUAAACCGAUUUGACAUAAAUCGGAACGGAAAAGUGAUGCAUAGCGCCUAAAACUAUAUAAAACCAGCAACUAAAAAUAUACCAAUCGUAGUAUCCUACCAAUACAUCCCAUGUGAAAUCACUUCAAAAAGAGAAUAUAUCCAAUUGAAAAAUAAAUUAAUUAAAGUUUACCUUAAAUAAAAUAAUAACAAAAAAAACAAAUGAAUAUUCAUUUUAUUAUCCUACAACCCUUAAAAUUACCUCUUAUUUCUUGCUUUUUUUUCCUUUGCUAUCAAAUUCACUAAGCAGAAAAUAUCACAAUAAAGAAAGUUACCUCCACUUUCUUCUCUUCCACUUUGGGUUUCUCCUCCUCUGCUUUCUUCUCCGCCGGCUGCGACGGUGGAGGAAUUGGAGAAACAAGCACAACUUGACGGUGGGUCUUUCUUUGAACUCUGGCUAAUACUUUCAAUGGAUCAGCUUUCUCUCCCUUCACCACCACUUUCCCCGUUUUACAAUCAGUCAUGACAUCUUCCACUCCUAAAUAAAUUAAGUGCAUUUAACAUUUAGACCAAAAAAAGAAAAAAAAAAAUUAAGUGCAUAGAUUAAACCAAGAACCCAAGAUUCAGUUCAUAUAUUUAUAUUUACCAAAAACAGAGUUUUCUAGUUUGGGUGUUUUAUAUUUGGUUAAAGGAAUAACCUAGACUUUCUGUGGUCCUACACACAAAAUAUAUAACGAAUAUUAACUAUACAAAUACUCAAAAUUAACCAAAAAUGUGUAGUUGAUGAAAUAAACUUUUGGAGUUUAAGAAACUAUUAUAUGAAAAACUAAAAUGUACAUACCAAAAGUAUUUCAGAUGUAGGAAUACUAAGAAUAUGUGUGUGUGUGUGUAGAUUACCUUCGAAGCCUUUGAGGCAACGGCGGACUUUUCUAGCGCAGCCUUCACAGUGCAUGUAGACUUUAAGGAUAAUUUCUUGCGGUGGAGGAGGCGGUGCUGGAGCCUCAGGCUUCGCCGGAGGUGAAUCUUCUUUGGAAUCUUUAGUAGGUUCUCCUUCUUGAGUUUUCUUCUCAGAUUCUUCUCCUUUUUUCUCAUCAGCCUCCACUUUCUUUCCUUCUCCUUCUUUUUUCUCUUCCUCUGGUUUCUUUUCCUCCAUUUUCUUAUCCUCUGCUGCUUCUGGUUUCUUCUCCUCCUGUAACAAAAAGGCAGUUUAUAAAAAUUAGUAUUAUUUUAGAGUUUUGAGAAGAUGAUAUAAAAGCUUGAGAUGUCUUUCAACCUCUCCCAUAUUUGUUUGUUUUGGUUAAGUUUCGUGUGUUUCUAUGUUCACAAAAAAAUUUCACCUAAGUAUUAAUAAUUCAUCGAUAAACUAUGAACAACGUUCUUUUUAUGGUGAGAACUGUAUAAAUGGGUUACUUCUAGGUAGUACUAUUAAAGUUAUUUAUAAAAUCUAUGAAUAAGGUUCUGUUUAUAUGAACUCUACUGUUCUUCCACAAGUUUCCAACUACAGUAUAAACUCUAUAAGUUAAUUUAUAAAUUAAUUAAAAAAUUCCAGUUCCAACUUCAAAAUAUGACAAAAAAUCAUAAAUUAAUAAAAUAACAAGAUGAUAUUUAAAAAAAACUUUAUGUAAAUAUAUGGUUUCAUUAAAAUUAUAAAUUAAUAAUCUAUCUAUAUGUACAUUUUACAUAAGUACAAACUAAACAUGGUAUUUAGUUUUAUAUCCACAAUGAAAUUAUCUCUAUUUUUAAAAGUUUCAAUAUAUUUUGUAAUAUUAGUAAAAUUAUAUCAAAAACCACAUUUAAAUUCUAUGAAACAUAAAAAUAUAAUAAUAAAAUAAAACAAUAUGAAAGUCUAAUUUCUAAAAUUUAGUUAAUAUAUAUAUGUAAAUGAACUAUUUUUUAUUUUAUAAAUAAAAUAUUUUAAAAUAGAAAAAUUUUUAAAAUGUAAAUUAAUCAUUCUAUAAAUUAAUAAAAUAUUAUAGUUCUAACAUUAUUAAUUUAUAGAGUUUUUACUGUAGUUUACUUUUGGGGGUUGAAUAAUGCGAUGGAUGAUUUUUGGUAAAUGAACAAAGCUAUUUACACAGAACAUAUGCAUUUAGUGCAGUUGGUGCAAAGCAAACUCUGCAGUUGUAAGAUUAAAUAGUAACUUGGUAAACAAGGAAGCAUUUUAGCGUUUGCAGUUUUUUGUAAACUGCAGUUGUAGUUAACACCUACAGUGACUUGUAAAGGGUGGGAUGAUCAUAUCAAAUUUGGUGCAUGUCAGAAAUAAAAGCAUAUUUAUUACCAUUACUUUAAACGAUUAGUCUAUGUAUUAUGAAUUAAAAUGAAUUAAUAGAUAUAAACUAUUGUAAUUUAUUUAUUUGAUCGCUUAUAGCAUUUGAAAUAACUCGUAAUUGGCGAGUUCUUUUCAAUGUAAAUUACACAAGAAAUAGAGCUGCACAAAACAUAGUAAAGGAAAACCACAUGCAAAGAGAGACAUCAAGUUACAACUUCAUCAAAAUUGUUCAAAAUACUCUCCAUAUAAACCCUUUAGCGUUUGCAGUUUUUUUUUGUUACAUUAUGGAACAUGAGUUUGGAUUCUCGUCGCUGAAUAGUUGAGGCGGAUAAGCAUGAGGCGGCAUUUCCAUAGGCGGAACCGCCACACGCGGUAGUUGGUAAUUAUAAUAGUAGUAAUAAGGAUUCUCUAUCUUCCUCACAUCCACAACUUUUCCCUCCUCCUCACCACCGCCGCCACCGU
rnacentral:lncRNA from 1 species